ACGUAGGGUCCAAGCGUUAUCCGGAAUCACUGGGCGUAAAGCGUGCGUAGGCGGAAAUUUAAGUGAGAUGUUAAAUCGUGUGGCUCAACCAUAUCGAUGCAUUUCAUACUGGGUUUCUAGAGGAAGGCAGAGGCAAGUGGAAUUGGCAGUGUAGCAGUGAAAUGCGUAGAGAUUGCCAGGAACACCAAUGGCGAAGGCAGCUUGCUGGGCCUUUUCUGACGCUGAGGUACGAAAGCGUGGGGAGCGAACAGGAUUAGAUACCCUGGUAGUCCACGCCGUAAACGAUGCAUACUAGUUUUGUGGGGUAUCGACCCCCUGCGAAACGCAGCUAACGCGAUAAGUAUGCCGCCUGGGAAGUACGGCCGCAAGGCUA
rnacentral:rRNA from 1 species